GAUGAACGCUAGCUACAGGCUUAACACAUGCAAGUCGCGGGGCAGCAUGGGGGUUGCUUGCAAUCCCCGAUGGCGACCGGCGCACGGGUGAGUAACGCGUAUCCAACCUGCCCUUCACCACGGGAUAACCCGGCGAAAGUCGGACUAAUACCGUAUGUUGUCCAUUGACGGCAUCCGAUUUGGACGAAAGGUUUGGCGGUGAAGGAUGGGGAUGCGUCCGAUUAGCUGGACGGCGGGGUGACGGCCCACCGUGGCGACGAUCGGUAGGGGUUCUGAGAGGAAGGGCCCCCACCCCGGAACCGGGAAACGGGCCAGGCUCCUACGGGGGGGAGCCGUGAGGGAUAUUGGGCAAUUGGCGGUAGCCUGAACCCGCCAAGUGGGGGGCAGGAUGACGGGCCUAUGGGUUGUAAACUUCUUUUAUGCGGGGAUUAAGGGGCCCACGUGUGGGUUUUUGCAGGUACCGGAUGAAUUAGGACCGGGUUAUUCCGUU
rnacentral:rRNA from 1 species